AGCGAACGCUGGCGGCAGGCCUAACACAUGCAAGUCGAACGAACUCUUCGGAGUUAGUGGCGGACGGGUGAGUAACACGUGGGAACGGGCCUUUAGGCUCGGAAUAAUACAGGGAAACUGGUGCUAAUACCGAAUGUGUCCUUCGGGGGAAAGAUUUAUCGUCUUUAUAGAGGCCGGCGUCUGAUUAGCUUGUUGGGGAGGUAAAGGCUCACCAAGGCGACGAUCAGUAGCUGGUCUGAGAGGAUGAUCAGCCACAUUGGGACUGAGACACGGCCCAAACUCCUACGGGAGGCAGCAGUGGGGAAUCUUGCGCAAUGGGCGAAAGCCUGACGCAGCCAUGCCGGGUGAAUGAUGAAGGUCUUAGGGUUGUAAAAUUCUUUCACCGGGGACGAUAAUGACGGUACCCGGAGAAGAAGCCCCGGCUAACUUCGUG
rnacentral:rRNA from 1 species